AAAGUACUCCCUCCGCCCCAAAAUUCUUGUCUUAGAUUUGUCUAGAUACGGAUGUAUCAAGUCACAUUUUAGUAUUAGAUGUAUGUAUCUAGACAAAUCUAAGACAAGAAAUUUGGGACAGAGGGAGUAGUUG
rfam:Triticum aestivum genome assembly, contig: Triticum_aestivum_CS42_TGACv1_scaffold_165190_2DL